UUAGUGAUCAAGGGGAAAGUCUCCU
rnacentral:misc_RNA from 1 species